rnacentral:rRNA from 1 species
GACAGAGGUGCCGAGCGUUAGGCGGAAUCACUGGGCUUAAAGCGUGUGUAGGCGGACUUCUAAGUACCUUGUGAAAUCCCACGGCUCAACCGUGGAACUGCUUGGUAUACUGGUUCUCUUGAGCCACCUAGGGGCAACCGGAACAAACGGUGGAGCGGUGAAAUGCGUAGAUAUCGUUUGGAACGCCAAUGGUGAAAACAGGUUGCUGGGGGUGUGCUGACGCUGAGACACGAAAGCCAGGGGAGCAAACGGG